GCACUCGUAGCUCAGCUGGAUAGAGUACUCGGCUACGAACCGAGCGGUGACAGGUUCGAAUCCUGUCGAGUGCACCA
rnacentral:tRNA from 3 species